rnacentral:rRNA from 1 species
UACAGAGGUCUCAAGCGUUGUUCGGAUUCAUUGGGCGUAAAGGGUGCGUAGGUGGCGCGCUAAGUCGGGUGUGAAAUUUCGGAGCUUAACUCCGAAACUGCAUUCGAUACUGCCGUGCUUGAGGACUGGAGAGGAGACUGGAAUUUACGGUGUAGCGGUGAAAUGCGUAGAUAUCGUAAGGAAGACCAGUGGCGAAGGCGGGUCUCUGGACAGUUCCUGACGCUGAGGCACGAAGGCCAGGGGAGCAAACGGG